rnacentral:rRNA from 1 species
CAGUCGCCGCGGUAAUACGUAGGUGGCAAGCGUUGUCCGGAAUUAUUGGGCGUAAAGCGCGCGCAGGUGGUUUAAUAAGUCUGAUGUGAAAGCCCACGGCUCAACCGUGGAGGGUCAUUGGAAACUGUUAAACUUGAGUGCAGGAGAGAAAAGUGGAAUUCCUAGUGUAGCGGUGAAAUGCGUAGAGAUUAGGAGGAACACCAGUGGCGAAGGCGGCUUUUUGGCCUGUAACUGACACUGAGGCGCGAAAGCGUGGGGAGCAAACAGGAUUAGAUACCCCGGUAGUCCCUGUCUCUUAUAA